rnacentral:lncRNA from 1 species
CUUGAUAUAUGAAAGAGUUUGUGUAGAUUUCUCUCCCCCUUGUUGACAAUGCAACCAUCAAGAAAAGCAUAAAAGCACAAAGUGCAUGCCAUGGAAAUGCAGAACCUAACAAGCUUCUCAAAUAUAUCACAAUGCACUCUCAAAGGCUACUAGGGAGAUAAAGCUUGAUAGAUCAUAAGAAACAAUAGCAUCACCAACAAGAUGAUAUCAAGUUACAACAGUGGAGGUGAAGCAAGUAUCAAGUUUUAGCAAUGUAUAAAAAGAUCACCACAUGAGGAUUCACCUAGUUAAGAAUCACCCAAGCAAGAAUAGACUAGUCCAUCAAGAGCUCAUACUAGGAAAAUCCAUUCUCAACAAGAGAUCAUUGCAAACACCCACAUAUGCAUCACAAGUCAUGUUUAAAGCUUGUUGAAACCAAGCGUCUACUUCUUUUGGUAGACAUCUUGUAACAACUAAGCAAGCAAUAAUAUCACAUUAAGCACAAAAACUUGGUGAAUUUAUGAAGUUUUCAGCAUAUUUCUUUUCAGUAUUCACACAAAGCAAAAUACAUGAAGUGCCUUUGCGGCACAAAGAAGCCAUGCUUCCCCAAGGGGUGCAUCAUGGGCUAAACAUUUGCAAUGAUACCUAGAUCUUUGACCCAAUUGAAAAGAACAUGGAUUCCAAACAUAAGCUAGAUAUGGAACCAGUAUUCAACCAAGGGCAAACCAUAACCAAGCAUCUACUCAUGGGUGAUAAGCAAGUUAAUAGAGUAGAAUUUAGCAUUGAAUUUCAAAAACAGUUAUCUCAACAAGUAUACAAUAUCAUCAAGAGCAUAACUGCACAUUGCAUCAAAAUCACCAACCACAGCACUAGCUCACAAGUAGCAUAAGAGAGUACACAAGAUAUAUAGGAGAAGCUCAUCUAGUGCAACAUGAUACAAAAUGCAUGGAAACUAAGAUAAAAUGAUACAGAUGAACAACAUGCCAUACCCAAAUGUGAACUAAGGUAAAGCAUGACAUGAUGUUCAUAUGUAUCAUCCACCACAAUAUAUCACAAAAGAUAGCAUGAUAAGAUAUACAUGAAGAACUCAAAGCUAUCAUGAAGAAGUGGCUAUCCUACCAAGUUUUGUACAAAAAUGAUACAAGUAUAAUACAAGAGAAGCUCCAAAAACCCAACUCAGAAAGGAAAGCAAACACCCAAC